CAGGCACCAGCCUGGAUGGAUGGGAGCCAUGAGGGGAGCAGCUUGAGGGCCAGGUGGGAGCAGGGAGCAGGGUUGGACAGCAACCCAAAAACACCUAGAGAAGGGGGCAUGAUCCCCAGAAACUGGGAGACUUCACAUGGGGCAGGCAGGAGGCAGUUUCACAGCAAAAAGUUUUUUUUUGUGUGUGUGUGUGACUAAAUAGUAGACUUGCAGAGUUUCCUGACAGUAUCUGGAGGAUGCUGAAGUUUUUAAAAAGCAGGAGGAGUGACUGGACAGAUCACUGUUUGAAAAGGUAAUUUGAGGAUUAUUAAAUGCAUAUAAACCACACGUGGUUCAGGAAUUCACACUUAGUGACAAGAGCUGAAGAGUAAGAGCCAAGAAAGGGACCAUAGGCCUCCCCCCUCCUCAUUUGUCCCCGUGUAUGCCCUUACCACCACUGCUGGAGGUGGGAUGGUGGCCAUGCUGGGCACCUGCACUGAUCCAGCACUGCUGGUCCUCUCCAGCCAUGAUAUGCCUCCUGUUGAAGGAAAAAAGACAUGAGAAGUUUUGGACGCUGUUUCUGCUACUAGAGCUCCAGUGAAUCAGUUUAAAUUUUGUGCAAUCCCAAGCUAGGCGUGAACAAAACCCCAAGAGUUCUUCAUAUAGUGCUCUCAUAAUGAAAAGGCCUAAUCUCGUCAGUUCUGACUGGGAAACUAAGGGACGUGGCUGAGUGUCCUGAUGAGACAGUCUUAUCAUUAUUUAUGCUGCAGGAGAGAAUAAAAGCUACUAGAUGGGCCAAGAAACACAAUUUUUUUUUUUUUUUUUUUCUGGAGAACAUAGAAUUCCAAUGAGAGAAAAUAUGUGGAAAAGAGAAUAUUUUGUUGUAUAUAUUUUUUACAGUUAUCUAGAAAGGAAGUAAUAUGCCUAAAGCAGAAACUCAUCAGUCCUUUGAGCUGGAACAAGAUCUUCUGUUCCUCAGCCCAGUGUGUUAGCAACAAGACACGUUUCUCUUGAAAGCCUCAGGAAAACACAGUAUGGGAGUGCAUCAGUGUAGGCAGGCUACGUGUUCAUAUGCAAGGCUGCAGCUGAAGCACUAGCUCAAAGAAAACAGUAGUCUUGGGUACUCCUGCUUCAUGGUCCCUGAUAGGGUCUGCUCAGCCUGCAAGUGAAUUCCAGCUGCAGGAGAUCCUUAGACCUGGGAUACAAACAGAGCCACAAGACAUUUGUGAAAGAUCAUAUGGAAAUUACUCACUGCAGUGAGGGAGAAAUGAGAAAAAGGAAAAACUCCCAGUUGAGCAACCUGGCAUAGCCAGGCAUGGAGGGGUGCUGCCACUGUCAUGGUUGUGGAAGACCAUCAGCAUUUCUCACUGCAGGACACUGGUGCCCUUUUCUACCUCAUGCUAUUAUAGGAGCUUAGUGGGUUUUUUUUCCAGGAUCUGUGUCCACUUGUAGAGCUGGUGUGAAGGUAAAGGUAUGGGCAGCUGUGAUCCAGCUAGCUGGUGUCUCAAAAAGAAACGUGCAACACUAAAUGCGAGCAGCUGACUUCGCUGGUACCUGUCAGACUGGGCCACUUAGGAAAUGCUGUAGCGGUGGGAAUGAGCCUGCAAUUCCAGCUUCCUCAAUGCCACACCCAAGGGAAUAUUUAAGGCAUCCACUUCUGGCCAUAGAUGGAGACGAGAUACCAGUGCUGCCGAUCCUUUAGCCUGACAGAUGUAGCUGCUCUCACAGGACCACUGCGUACAUGGUAAAUGUGACCAUCUGUGCCGUGAAGCUGGAGGCAAGAAACAGGCAGAGAGCU